CCCCCCCCUCCCCUCCCUCUCUCUCUCUCCACGUUUGCCUCCCCUCCUCCUCCUCCCUGGGCAACUCUUCUCCUCAGGCAGUGUGAGAGCACUGGAGCCGUCCGUCUCCUCCUCCCCCAGCAGGCAGGGCUCAAGAGGAGCGCAUGGGAGCUCUCUCUCUCCCUCACCCUCGUUUGUCUCUUCACAGGGUGAUGAGGGAGCAGCACUGUGGGCGGUAGAGGAGGUGCGUGGCAGUCCAGGAAGCUCUCAUUCUGCUGUUGCGUGCUGCUUUGCCGUCGUCCGGCUUCACCCAAGUCUCUCUCACUCUACGCGAGUGUGUGUGUAUCAGAGUUGCCUUCCCCUACCUCCUCUCUCCUCCCCUCAUUGAUUCCUCUUUCCGCCUGCCUUUCGUGUGGGCUCUCUGUGACUUUCUGAGCCCUUUCCCUCUUAUUUCUGGUUCUUUCCUUCUCUUGUUGCUUUUUAGUUUCCCUUUUAGCGCCUCUCCUCGUCUUCUUCUUCACCAGUCAGGAUAAGCUGGGGCGUGUAUGGCGAGCUUCAGAGUCUGGCAGGCAGAACGGUGGAAAAUGAAAGCACAAAGCAGCAAAAUGCAUCAGCAUGAAUAUUAGAGAUGUCGUUAAAACCCAGACUCGUUUCUCCCCCUCUCUCUCUCUCACUCGCUCUCUCCACUUGCUCUCUCACUCAUUUUCUCUCUCUCUCUUUGUAAGGAAGUAGGCCAGCAGAUGGUGCUAGCAGUUAUUAAAUUAACUUUCACAACUUAACCCCCACAGCACUGGAUUUCUCCCACAACAAAUAUCAACAUAACUGCUUUUGUUUUUUGUCCUUGCGUAGGUCAUUGUCGGUGACGUGCUGAUUUAUUUACGGAACAGUAUCAUUCAAGAGUCAGAUGAACAAACAGAUAAAGACAAAAAACUAAAGAUUACAAACAUUUUACCGACACAAACAGCUGACAAAGUUGAAUUAAUCUAAAAAAAAAAAAAAAAUCGAGACACAGAUAUUCCAUUCCCUAACCAUAUCAGACACAUCAAGCCUUCAUUACCUACAGCGGUGACGUAAAACACUUGUCGACACCCUGCUAUGACUUUUGGAAAACACAUUCCACGAGGGGAAACUGAGUUGUCCCCAUAGCAUGCGACUCUUCCGCAGAGCCAGAAGAGAUCAUGAGUGAGCCAGCCUUUUACAGAUUCUUGUCAGCGUGAUACAGGGGCCAUGUGCACUAGCUGGCACAUGGUAUUGAGGUAUUGAGCAUAGACAUGCAGCUGGCCUGAAGCCAGGAACAGCACACAGCACUACUAAGCCAGGGCCUGAGUUACUGACACAUACUUUGUUAGCUUAAAAAUGUUUCUACGGUGCAAAAACGGCUAAACAGGCUUCAAACCAGCCAACACCAUUUUCACUUCAUGUAUUUCAAUACACAGGAAUUAGUGGGCUGCUCCUGUUCAACCAGUGACCCACCCACCUGUGGCUUGGAAGAAAGGUAUGCUUUUGACACUAUUGAUGGCCAGACCAAACACACAGAUUUUAUGAGGGCUAAGUGAAGACGAGAACCAGAUUCAAAGAAGUAUUUCUGACAGGUACAGCUGAAUACAGGCUAUUUACCUACAGAGAAUAGUACACUCAACACAGCACAGAGCAAGAUAUACUAAAUAAAGCUAAUAUGAACAUGACAAAGUGAAUAUAAAAAUGACUUAAAGGACAUAAAAAUGUUUGUUGUGUCAUUGUUUUUGCUUAUUUUUCUAUUGUAGCUCCAAACUAAACAAUACUUACUGUGAGCUAAUCAACGUAUGGUGUGAAAUGUGGGCGAAAGCUACCACACAUGGUUUUACAUUGCACAUUGUAAAGGUAACCUAAAUAAAGUUCUAUUCAACUGACCAA